CUUCAGGAGAUGGUGUAACUUAUCAACCUUGCUACCAUGGCAGCACCAACUUCUUACGCGUUCAUGGAUUCCAUUUGGCGGCCAGAGGUUGAUAAUGGGUGCUGAUCGCAGUUUGUUAAGUAGCAACUGUCUGUCAGGAGAGUUUGAUCCCAUCUGGUGCAUGUGCGGGCAGUGUUUUCCUUGUGCAGUGUCGUGCAGUUCUUGGGUUUAAGGUGGCUGCCAUUUAAUUAAUGUGAGGGGUUCACUAGUAAUCGUUGUAACACCUGCCAACUGUACAUGGCGAUGUACCUUACCCUCCUUUGCUGAGAGAUACAGACACAACUUUCUCAGCCUUUCCCAGCAUGACAGUUCCUUCGUGCUCCUGAUUUGUUGUGUGAAGGCAUGCUGGCCUGCCUCUAAGGCAGUCCUAACAUUACCUAACCUACCCUAAUCUAACAACCUAACAUUACCUAACCCACCCGAACCUAACAACCUAACAUUACCAAACCUAAACUACCAUAACCUAAAAACCUUACAUAACCUAACUUAACUAAACCUAACAACCUAACAUUAUCAAACCUAACCGAGCCUAACCUAACCUAACAUUACCAAACCUAAAAGCCUAACAUUACCUAACCUAACCAAGCCUAACAUUACCUAACCUAACCAAGCCUAACAUUACCAUGCAUCUAAUGUAGCCAUAGUACAGAUGCCUAGGCCUGUAAACCUAGGCCUAUAGGUGUGCAGUUGAAGCAGUAGUGCACUAUGCACAAAAUAUUGUUACUUAUAAUGAAAUUUUUUCUCUCUCUCUGACAGUUAAGGGGAGGGGAGGUGAUCUAGGGAGGUUUGAGAUGAAGAAAGAGGAAGGAAGAGAAAAAGAAAAUGGGGGAACGGAUAUGACAGGAAGGAAAGUACAUGGGGCAAGGAAGUGGAGGAUGAGGAUAGGGGGAAAGUAGAGAGAAUAAAAUUAAUAUAAGCAACAAGGGUGAGAAGUGAGUGAAGGAUAAGCAUUAAGAAAUAAAUAUUUUCUUUUCCUGUCCCAUACUCCUAUUCAUUUCCCUCCAUCCAUUUCCCUCCCAUUUAUGUUCCUUCCAUCCAUUUUCAUUUUCAUUACAUUGAGUGUUUGCUGUACAUAUUAGUUUAGUCCCCUUUCAUUUUACAGUGUAUUGCAUUUUUUUAAACUGAAAUAUUGUGUACUAGAUAUAUAAUGAUGUUGAAUUGAAUUUAAAAUGCAUUUAAUGAGUGCAAGAUGCCUGUUUUAAUGUUUGCACUAUAAAUAUUGGUACUGGUGAGCCUUGUAGGAGUGGUUUCCCACACUUGAGGAUUGUGGCUGUUCACAGGAGGCUCAUCAAUGUACCUGACACUGUAUUUCUUGAGUUAGAACAUAAGAACAUAAGAACAUAAGAAAUAAGGGAAGCUGCAAGAAGCAACCAGGCUUACACGUGGCAGUCCCUGUAUGAAACACACCUACCUAUUUCCAUCUGUUAUCCCCAUCCAUAAACUUAUCUAAUCUUCUCUUAAAGCUCUCUAGUGUCCUAGCACUAACUACAUGAUUACUGAGUCCGUUCCAGUCUAAUCUUCUCUUAAAGCUCUCUAGUGUCCUAGCACUAACUACAUGAUUACUGAGUCCGUUCCACUCAUCUACCACUCUGUUUGAGAACCAAUUUUUUCGUAUCUCCUUCCUAAACCUAAAUUUUUUAAGCUUGAACCCAUUAUUUCUUGUUCUACCCUGUUUGCUGAUCCUAAGAAUUUUGCUUACAUCUCCCUUGUUAUAACCCUUAUACCACUUAAAGACUUCUAUCAGGUCCCUUCUUAACCUACGUCUCUCUAGAGAAUGUAAAUUUAACAGCUUCAACCUCGUCUCGUAAGGAAUACUCCUCAUCCCCUGUAUCCUUUUAGUCAUUCUCCUCUGUACUGAUUCUAAUAGACCUAUGAGUUGCCACGACCAGACCGUUCACUCUAUGAACUGGAGGUGCAUUGCAUAUUGAAAAUAAUGAUAGAUUAGUGUCCUGAUGGGUGUGUGUACAGCUGCAGAGUUAGGAGGUAAAAACUAACAACUUAGCUCAAAAAUGACACAAUAGGAACUGGGCUGCUGUAUCCACGUGCCGUGGUGAUGAAAGCCUUGUCAAGUUGUCAGUAGUCAACAGUGUUUAUGCCAUGUCUGACUGCCACUAUUAUACUUUCAAUAUGCUUCUGGUCUCUCAUUAUAAGUUGAGUGAGUGUGAGUCAUCUGGGGAUGAGAAGAAGCCAACUCAGGCUGAAUGGCUUAUGACACUCGUUGAUGGAAAUAGAAGCUGCAUGAAUUGUUUAUGUAGAUUUUAGAAGUUGCCUGAAUUGUUUAUGUAGAUCUGAAGCACUUACUUUGAAUUGAUGGCCUGGGCCAUGUAAGAUCUUUGUAAUUCUUCUGUACUAUUGACAUAAGUUCCUUACAUAUCUCACUACAGUUUUGUCUCUAACAAUAUUCACUCAAACUUAAUUUUUCUUCACUUUGCAAGUUUUCAGUAAACCUCCCUGAUCUGAUAUGUACAUUCAUUCAAACUGCAGUAAACCUCCCUGAAGGUUCCAGGGUUGCUCUACCUAAGGUAUCAGCAAGUGCCCAGUCCAGGGUGUCACAAGACUGUGUGACGGUGGACCUUUCACAGAUUGAUAAUGGUUGUGCAAUGCCACUUACAGGAAAUGAUUGAGUCCCCUUGAAGCUGAGAUGGGCUGGUCAGCCGAUGAGUGGCUUGAAUCAAAUGACCAUGAGGUGUUAGAUGUGGGGUCGUGUUGUUGCAAGUGUAACCAGUAACUAAUGGUAAUGCGGAGAGCAAGCAGAAGAGACCUUGGGAGACCUCCAUAACUGAGGAGCAACAAGCACACCUCACUGGUGCCUUGUAGGAACCAAGUCAGGGUCUGACAUGAGGAUGUCUGCAGCCAGUGGUGGGUGUCCUCCCUACCUGGUGCUGCAGCCUGGUGUGUUGCCUGCUGCAGUACGAGUCUCAAGCUCCAUCUGCUGACUGUCUCCAGUGUAAUGUCUAGACUAGGAUGCUUUGCUAUAUGAUUUGUGUCUUUGGUAAUAAAUACAUUUGUGACUGUUCUUAUAUAUAUGUGAAAUAUAUAGUUUGAUCAAUUACAGUAUGGUCUGAUGUAAAAUAAAUACAGUAAAAACCCUCUUAUCCGGCAUCAACGGGACUGCCGACAUGCUGGAUACUUGAAUAUUGCUGGAUACUUGAAUAGAAGUGAAAUUAUGUCCACAAUCACCACCCUACACUCACGCAUCUUACCAUAACAAAGAUCAGCUGAUCUUAAUCAGCAGCUGAUCUGAUCAGCUGCUUAAGUGUAAGCACAACACACUUCCUCUUUUCUACAACUUUAGGCAUGAUGAAGGCGUCAGGCGAUAAACAGUGCACACGCGGGACUGAGUCACUGUGCAAACACAGUGCAGUGGGCUGCGGGUGGCGCGAAGCAGUGCGCUCUGGUGGUGAGGGGACAAAGUAUGCCUCGCACGGGAAUUUUAAUCGAUUUUAUGAGUACACAUUAAUUUUUUUAUUGAUUUUUUGGGGAAAAAUGUGCCGGAUACUCGAAUGCUGGAUGAGAGAGAUUUUACUGUAUUUCGUGGUAAGCAAUUCGUGCCAUGGUAAAAAAAAAAAAAAAAAAAAGCCUAGAUUCGCCCUAAAAAAAAAAAAAAAAAAUUAAGGUGAAACAUUAAGGUGUCUGAGUGACUCAGACAGGGCAUCUAUGUGCAAGUUUCACCUCAAACUUGGUUAAUUUGGGUCAGUCCUGGCUUUAAUUUUUUACCUGAGGGCAUUAGGCUAAUCCUGUUUUUUUUUUUUUUUCCUCCACUUGAGGGCAUGAAUUGUUACACUAGAAAACUUGUUAAUUUCCAAAAGACAUUAACAUAGUAUAUAAGUAUGUAUGUGCAAUAUAAUAUAUUUAUUCUUCAAGAUAUAUUUAUCUAACUGACCAUUAAUCUGUCAGUUUAAGACUCUCCCACACACUUUUCCUGACACACUAAACAAAGUUAUCCCACUAACUUUUUUUUCACAUUCCUGCAAUGCUUAUCCCUUUGUAAAAAUACAAUGAGUGCCUGCAUCCACUCACCAGGUACUACUUAGAACCAUCCAAGCUUCCAUCUCUCUUUACUGUAACAAAUCAGUGCAAUUAUUCCAUCAGUGCUUGCAGUCUUGCUACACAUAAGGACAAGUAUUGUUUUUUCAGUUUCCCUGACAGUUCCUCUCACUCUGCCUGCUCCCACACACAUGCUGGGCAUUACUGCUUCUCCCAUACCCGCUUUUCUCUCUCAUCCCUUCACUUUCACAUUCCUUACUCUCAUUUAUCCUGUUUAAUUUCUUGUGACACAUUUCCCUGCAACAUUUCCUCACGGCCCUCUUGUGUUCCAUGGCUCCCUCCUCAGCCAUCCAACAUGCCAUCGCUCCUAUCCCAAGACUCCCUUCAGCCGCCUCUGUAAUUCCUAGCUGUCCCUAACCUCUCUCUCUCCCACACCUCCUGUCCAGCUAUCUAAUAACUUCCCACCACUAAGCACAUCACCACAGCUACACCAAACCAGGAUGAGGCUGUGGCAUGACCAGACCCACCACCAUGGUUGUCAGCAGUCCCACCCCCCACUCAGUCCUGUGGUCACGGAGGUUAGAUGGAAGAGCAAACGAACAACGUGGAACUGAACUGGAUGAAUGAACAGGGAACAGAUGGAUGAAUAAACUGGGAACAGGUGGAUGAACAAACUAGUAAUGAUAAACAAACCAGUUUUGAUUAUGUUUUUAUGUGGAAAGAAAUACAGUACUCUCUCUCUCUCUCUCUCUCUCUCUCUCUCUCUCUCUCUCUCUCUCUUACCACUUAUUCACUGCAACCUGACCCAACUUAAUAUUAAUCAGUAACAAGUACUGCCAGCAUCUUGACCACCAAACAACAGACAUUCAAACAGUCAGGCAGUUAUAAAUAGAGGACUCCCUGUACACACACACAGACACCCAAACAUGCACCUCCACACCUGUAUCUUGCCAGUAACCAUGUAUGGAAACUUGCUGGGUAGAUGACAGCCACAUGACAGCUUCUGAUGGCUCUGUGGCAGCUUCCCUCAGUGCACUUGUGGCCUCCUCCAAUCCUGCCACAUCUUAGUGGGGUCCUCCUUGUCAGGGAGUCCUUGCUUCCCUCACUGCCCUUCCUCCUCCUGUUGGUGGUGUGUGUGUGUGUGUGUGUGUGUGUGUGUGUGUGUGUGUGUGUGUGUGUGUGUGUGUGUGU